GAAGCUACGGCAGGCUUAUACAUGCAAGUCGAGGGGCAGCACGAGUUAGCAAUAACUGGUGGCGACCGGCGCACGGGUGCGUAACACGUAUACAAUCUACCUUAAACAGGGGGAUAGCCUUUCGAAAGAGAGAUUAAUACCCCGUAAUAAAUUGAACGGAUCGUUUGAUUUUGAAAGCUCCGGCGGUUUGAGAUGAGUAUGCGUCUGAUUAGCUAGUUGGUGAGGUAACGGCUCACCAAGGCGACGAUCAGUAGGGGAUCUGAGAGGACUAACCCCCACACUGGUACUGAGACACGGACCAGACUCCUACGGGAGGCAGCAGUAAGGAAUAUUGGUCAAUGGGGGCAACCCUGAACCAGCCAUGCCGCGUGCAGGAUGAAGGCCCUAUGGGUCGUAAACUGCUUUUAUACCGGAGAAAACCACCGUACGUGUACGGUGUUGAUAGUAUGGUAAGAAUAAGCAUCGGCUAACUUCGUGCCAGCAGCCGCGGUAAGACGAAGGAUGCAAGCGUUAUCCGGAUUCAUUGGGUUUAAAGGGUGCGUAGGCGGACCAGUAAGUCAGUGGUGAAAUCUCCGAGCUUAACUCGGAAACUGCAUUGAUACUAUUUGUCUUGAAUACCGUGGAGGUGAAGCGGAAUAUGUCAUGUAGCGGUGAAAUGCUUAGAUAUGACUUAGGAACACAAUUGCGAAGGCAGUUGUAC
rnacentral:rRNA from 1 species